UACGAAGGGGGCUAGCGUUGCUCGGAAUCACUGGGCGUAAAGCGCACGUAGGCGGCUUUCUAAGUCAGGGGUGAAAUCCUGGAGCUCAACUCCAGAACUGCCUUUGAUACUGGAAAGCUUGAGUUCGGGAGAGGUGAGUGGAACUGCGAGUGUAGAGGUGAAAUUCGUAGAUAUUCGCAAGAACACCAGUGGCGAAGGCGGCUCACUGGCCCGUAACUGACGCUGAGGCACGAAAGCGUGGGGAGCAAACAGG
rnacentral:rRNA from 1 species